AAAAAUGUCAUGAUCCUGUAUGUAAAGCAGUAAACUUCAAAUCUGACUAUUUUCCAUUGCCUGCUGAUGUCAGUCUCUGGUUCCUUUUCAAAGAAGAAGAAGACGUGAUAGCAGAUGGUGUGAGUCAUCA